GACGAACGCUGGCGGCGUGCUUAACACAUGCAAGUCGAACGGACAGGCCCUGCUUUUGUGGGGUGCUCGAGUGGCGCACGCGUGAGUAACACGUGUGUAACCUCCCCUUAUCUUUGUGAUAUCUUCAGGAAACUGGGGCUAUUACCCCAUAUGAUCUCCUGCUCCAUGUUGGGGGUUGGUAAGUUUCGGUGGUUGGGGCUCGUCUCGAGGCUUAUCCGCUUGUUGGUGUGGUUGUUGCUUACCAAGUUUUUGACGGAUAGCCGGCCUGAGAGGUUGACCGGCGACCAGGGGACUGAGGGAGGGCCCAGACGGCAACGGGAGGCAGCAGGGGGGAAUAUUGCACAAUGGGCGGAAGCGAGAGACAAAAACGCCGGGUGCGUGAUGACGGCCUUCGGGUUGUAAACAGAUGUCGCCUGUGACGAAGCGUGAGUGACGGUAAUGGGUAAAGAAGCACCGGCUAACUACGUG
rnacentral:rRNA from 1 species